AGAGUUUGAUCCUGGCUCAGAACGAACGCUGGCGGCAGGCCUAACGCAUGCAAGUCGAGCGCUUCACUUCGGUGAGGAGCGGCGGACGGGUUAGUAACGCGUGGGAAUAUACCCUUCACUAUGGAAUAGCCUCGGGAAACUGAGAGUAAUACCAUAUACGCCCUUCGGGGGAAAGAUUUAUCGGUGAAGGAUUAGCCCGCGUAAGAUUAGAUAGUUGGUGGGGUAAUGGCCUACCAAGUCUACGAUCUUUAGCUGGUUUGAGAGGAUGAUCAGCAACACCGGGACUGAGACACGGCCCAGACUCCUACGGGAGGCAGCAGUGGGGAAUCUUAGACAAUGGGCGCAAGCCUGAUCUAGCCAUGCCGCGUGAGUGACGAAGGUCUUAGGAUCGUAAAGCUCUUUCGCCAGAGAUGAUAAUGACAGUAUCUGGUAAAGAAACCCCGGCUAACUCCGUGCCAGCAGCCGCGGUAAUACGGAGGGGGUUAGCGUUGUUCGGAAUUACUGGGCGUAAAGCGUACGUAGGCGGAUUGGAAAGUAGGGGGUGAAAUCCCAGGGCUCAACCCUGGAACUGCCUCCUAAACUAUCAGUCUAGAGUUCGAGAGAGGUGAGUGGAAUUCCAAGUGUAGAGGUGAAAUUCGUGGAUAUUUGGAGGAACACCAGUGGCGAAGGCGGCUCACUGGCUCGAUACUGACGCUGAGGUACGAAAGUGUGGGGAGCAAACAGGAUUAGAUACCCUGGUAGUCCACACCGUAAACGAUGAAUGCCAGUCGUCGGGGAGCUUGCUCUUCGGUGA
rnacentral:rRNA from 1 species